GAGUAGCAAGUAGUAUAAAAAAGUUAAGCAGCGAAACAGAAAAUACGGGUCUGAGGAGAAGAGAGCGACAAUUCCUCUCCGCUCUCAGGUCUCCGCUUUCUGGCCCUCCCAGCUCCUAACACUUUGUAUCCGUCGGUCUCCGUCCUCCCCGGCCGCCUGCCUCCCCGACUAGCUGCCCUGCCCGGAGGACACCUCCGUUCUUCUUCAUCUUCUUCUUCCCAUUGCCACCGGGAAAAAAAAGGCACGCAAUUUUCAUUGCAAUCUAUAUCUCAAUCAGCAGCAAUACUGAGAUCAUUUCAGAACCAGGAAAAAUAAGAACAGAGUAAUUGUAUGAUGGACGCUUCGGC
rnacentral:lncRNA from 1 species